rnacentral:lncRNA from 1 species
UAUAUAUAUAUAUAUAUAUAUAUAUAGAGUAUGGCUACUAUACUCUUAUGAGUAUAUAGAGCUCUUCGUACUCAUAAGUUGUUUUCGAUAUUGGCAUUUUCGAAUCGACGAUGUCAUUUUCGAAUCGACGAUCCACACCAUUAAACAUGAUCUAGAGUAUUUAAAACUUCUAGAAAAUAAAUUUCGUAAUUUUUCGAAAUUAUUAUAAAGUCCAUCAAGUAGGUAUAAAAUGAACGGUUAAAAUCGAACGACAUCCUAAAAAUGAAUGAUCGGAUUCUUUAAUUUAAGAUCGGAAUUAUUGAUCUUUAUUUAGGUAGUGAAUAGAAUUUUCUAUCAAAAAUUCAAUCUAUUCCGAUUCUUUUUCACCGUUAAACUAGCAAAUAUCUCAUAUCGGCCGUUUAAAAUUGUCAAGUUUGUGAACUUUUGAUCGUAAAGUAAAUGAUAUCGAAAAAUUAUAAAAUUUGAUUUUUAAAAAUUUUAAAUGCUCUAGAUAAUAUUUAACGGUAUGGAUCGUCGAUUCGGAAUCUUUAUCAUCGAGAACAAUUUAUGAGUACGAAAGCAAUCAUACUCAUAAGAGUAUAGUAGCCGAACUAUAUAUAUAUAUAUAUAUA